UACGUAGGGGGCCAGCGUUGUCCGGAAUCAUUGGGCGUAAAGCGCGCGUAGGCGGCCAGAUAAGUCCGGUGUGAAAGUCAAAGGCUCAACCUUUGAAUGCCGCUGGAAACUGCCUGGCUUGAGUCCGGAAGGGGCGAGUGGAGUUCCUGGUGUAGCGGUGAAAUGCGCAGAUAUCAGGAGGAACACCAAUGGCGAAGGCAGCUCGCUGGAACGGUACUGACGCUGAGGCGCGAAAGCGUGGGGAGCGAACAGG
rnacentral:rRNA from 1 species